GCACUGAACCCCCAGUUGCUCCCCGGGCGCUGGAUAUAGCUGCCCACUGCUCCAGGCUCCAUAGCUCCAUUCCAGUUCAAACAGUGAGAGAACUAUGCUGUGUCUAAAUUUGCCUGGACAGCCUUCAUAGGUUGUCUAAGGUAGGCCCGGCUCUGAAUCCGCAGCACCAUGCGACGAGCAUAGAAAUCCCGAUAAUCAGGUGGCAGCUCUUCCAGGAUGCCUAAAGUCCUCUCCAGAGACUGCAGGGCUCGAGUGGCUGCUACUGGGUCCUUGUUUCCAUAUGGAUCUUUCUUAUCAUAAGUCUCAAGUGGCAGAUGCCUCCAGAACACGUUGACACCAACUCCAAACUGGAGAGCCAGAGUAUUGUGAAACCAAAGAGCUGAGGAAAUACAAAUAAAAGUAGUAUUUUUCUGAAUGCA